rnacentral:rRNA from 1 species
CCUACGGGAGGCAGCAGUGGGGAAUAUUGGUCAAUGGGCGCAAGCCUGACCCAGCAACGCCGCGUGAAGGAAGAAGGCCCUCGGGUUUUAAACUUCUUUUAUCAGGGACGAAACACAUGACGGUACCGGAUGAAUAAGCCAAGGCUAACUACGUGCAAGGAGCAGCGGUAAUACGUAGGUGGCAAGAGUUAUGCGGAUUUACGGGGUGUAAAGGGCUUGUAGGCGGGAGGGUAAGGCAGACGUGAAAUUCCAGGGCUCAACCCUGGAACUGCGUUUGAAACUGUUCUUCUUGAGUGAUGGAGAGGCAGGCGGAAUUCCGUGGGUAGCGGUGAAAUGCGUAGAUAUACGGAGGAACACCAGUGGCGAAGGCGGCCUGCUGGACAUUAACUGACGCUGAGGCGCGAAAGCGUGGGGAGCAAACAGGAUUAGAUACCCGGGUAGUC